AAUCCAUCAAAACCAAUAGAUUUACUAGAAAAUUAUUUUAAAUGGUGCAAAACUGCUUUAUAAUUGGACAGAAGUUUGUCUUCUGAUAUAGUUCUGUUACUAGCCAUCUCAUUUUGGUUGUCAUUGAUGCAUAUGGUUUGUCAGGCUAGGUCAAUGAAAGCAAAGAAAGACUGGCUAAACAAAAAACCUCUUUAAGUAAGAAAAUUUAACAAUAGACACACAUGACUUCCAUUCAUGAUAAUUUAUAACAACCACCUUAUUAUAUUUUCUAGUUGACAACUCAGCUGCAUUGCCAGAGGAGAGUGCAACAAAUUCCCAGGACCUGUUUGAUACCCCUCCAAGCCAUCCACUGUCCCUAUCUGGAUCUGAUUCCAUUCAUCAGCCAGUACCAAUUCUACCAGCUGUAAAUAUCCAGGUGCCAUGCCCAGCAGCUGCAGUAGUUGAGUUGGGGACUCUAACAACACAGAAAGCAGUAAAUCAAAAGAAGAGGAAAGCAACUGCUGAUGAUGUUUAUGAGCUACAGAUACUGUAUUUGAAGGGAGAAAUGGCAAAGCAGACUAAAGAGAUGAGGAAAUUAGAUCUUCAGAUAGAGUUGCUGGAAGAAAUGAAACGAGACAAAGAGAAUACUCCACUAACAUUUUCUCAACUUUUAAUGAAUUAAAUUAUUUAUUUUUCUUAUCAAUCAACAAUUAUUUUCCCAAAAAAAUGCAUGUGUACGGUACCAAGUCACAAAUGAUGUUUAGGACUCAAUUUCUUCGUUCAAUAAUAUUUUGCUUUUUUUUUAUUUUGAUUUGAUAUAUAUACCACU